CCUACGGUGGCUGCAGUGGGGAAUAUUGCACAAUGGGCGCAAGCCUGAUGCAGCCAUGCCGCGUGUGUGAAGAAGGCCUUCGGGUUGUAAAGCACUUUCAGCGGGGAGGAAGGCGGUGAGGUUAAUAACCUCAUCGAUUGACGUUACCCGCAGAAGAAGCACCGGCUAACUCCGUGCCAGCAGCCGCGGUAAUACGGAGGGUGCAAGCGUUAAUCGGAAUUACUGGGCGUAAAGCGCACGCAGGCGGUCUGUCAAGUCGGAUGUGAAAUCCCCGGGCUCAACCUGGGAACUGCAUUCGAAACUGGCAGGCUAGAGUCUUGUAGAGGGGGGUAGAAUUCCAGGUGUAGCUGUGAAAUGCGUAGAGAUCUGGAGGAAUACCGGUGGCGAAGGCGGCCCCCUGGACAAAGACUGACGCUCAGGUGCGAAAGCGUGGGGAGCAAACAGGAUUAGAUACCCUUGUAGUC
rnacentral:rRNA from 1 species